rnacentral:rRNA from 1 species
AGUGAACGCUGGCGGUAGGCCUAACACAUGCAAGUCGAACGGCAGCACAGUAAGAGCUUGCUCUUACGGGUGGCGAGUGGCGGACGGGUGAGGAAUACAUCGGAAUCUACUUUUUCGUGGGGGAUAACGUAGGGAAACUUACGCUAAUACCGCAUACGACCUACGGGUGAAAGCAGGGGAUCUUCGGACCUUGCGCGAUUGAAUGAGCCGAUGUCGGAUUAGCUAGUUGGCGGGGUAAAGGCCCACCAAGGCGACGAUCCGUAGCUGGUCUGAGAGGAUGAUCAGCCACACUGGAACUGAGACACGGUCCAGACUCCUACGGGAGGCAGCAGUGGGGAAUAUUGGACAAUGGGCGCAAGCCUGAUCCAGCCAUACCGCGUGGGUGAAGAAGGCCUUCGGGUUGUAAAGCCCUUUUGUUGGGAAAGAAAAGCAGCAGGUUAAUACCCCGCUGUUCGGACGGUACCCAAAGAAUAAGCACCGGCGAACUUCGG